GAGAUGAGCUUCCUUCAAUAGCAUAUUUUCAAAAUGGCGGCCUACUGAAUAAUUACUUUUCCUAAAUAACUUGUACUCUGCUGCCAUGCUCAUUUAGCUUACUUUGCUACUAACAAUGCUGCAGAAAACUGUUGCUUCAAUUAAUUAAUAUUUCCUAUACACACGCUCGCCUGUUAACAUGCACUUUCAGGAGAAUUUCAAACGCAACUUCAACCCGGAAGCGGAGUUUUCUCUGGAUAUCGUCGGCAGCCUGGGACCAAAAUGUUUUUCUUCCGCCCGUUUCGACAAAGGUUCCUGAAUGAGGGUGAAAGCUGUUGAUGGGGAGUGGGAGGAAGAGCCCCAGGCUGCUCCGUGGUGUGGAUGCUGAUCAACUGAUGUAGUCGUUUGCUAAUGAGAUUUUAGCCGUCUCCUCUCUCUGGCUUUGUCCAUAUGAAGGGACAUCUGCCCUGCCGUGGGCAGCGUGACAGGAGCCUCACAGUGAACAAACUGAUGUGGGAUUGCUGACCAGGCUCAGAGGUUCUGUCAGAGAUGGAGAGCUGAAGGAAAACACACUUAUAGCGACGUUUUUAUAUAUCCAUGUGUGACUUGGGUUUACACAUCAGUUUACAGUUGUAAUGUUGUUAUUAGAGCGGCCCUUUUAUGCUCUCUGUGGUUCUCCCCCAUCCAGUAGUGUGUUUUAGGUUUUUCUGUAUGUAAAUGGUUUACAAAGGCUAACAUCUGAGAGCCUGAGUUUCAGUCCCAUUUUUAAUUCUAAUGGUUGCUUGAGGUUGUGAACAGUUUUCAUUUUGUAUUGAGUAUCCUUGGCAGUUCAGCAUGACCUAACUCUACCUGUCAGAAGUGUGUAUACUGGAAAAAGGAAAAUUACAGCCUUCUCUUUUUCACACAUUUUCAGAGAUAAAAUCAAGUUUCAUAACAAGAA